rnacentral:misc_RNA from 1 species
GUAGGUGAACCUGCGGAAGGAUCAUUAUUGAAUAUAUUGAAGGGUUGCCGCUGGCCUCUUGGGGCAUAUAUGUGCACACCUGGAUUCAUUUCAUCUUAUACACUUGUGCACUUAAUGUAGGGAACUCUUGAUUGAGUCUCUCUAUGUCUUUCUAUAUACCCUUUCAAAAGUUUUAGAAUGUCUCAUAUCGUUUGCUGUAAAAUGGCAGACAUGAAAAAUAUAACUUUCAACAACGGAUCUCUUGGUUCUC